GAUGAACGCUGGCGGCGUGCCUAAUACAUGCAAGUCGAGCGAACAGACGAGGAGCUUGCUCCUCUGACGUUAGCGGCGGACGGGUGAGUAACACGUGGAUAACCUACCUAUAAGACUGGGAUAACUUCGGGAAACCGGAGCUAAUACCGGAUAAUAUAUUGAACCGCAUGGUUCAAUAGUGAAAGACGGUUUUGCUGUCACUUAUAGAUGGAUCCGCGCCGCAUUAGCUAGUUGGUAAGGUAACGGCUUACCAAGGCAACGAUGCGUAGCCGACCUGAGAGGGGGAUCGGCCCAACUGGAACUGAGACACGGUCCAGACUCCUACGGGAGGCAGCAGUAGGGAAUCUUCCGCAAUGGGCGAAAGCCUGACGGAGCAACGCCGCGUGAGUGAUGAAGGUCUUCGGAUCGUAAAACUCUGUUAUUAGGGAAAAACAAAUGUGUAAGUAACUAUGCACGUCUUGACGGUACCUAAUCAGAAAGCCACGGCUAACUACGUG
rnacentral:rRNA from 1 species